GCCAGUAUGGUGGUUAGGACUCUCGGCUUAUAACCGAGUGGGUUCGGGCUCAAAUUCCGAGAAGGGCA